AGAGUUUGAUCCUGGCUCAGAUUGAACGCUGGCGGCAUGCCUUACACAUGCAAGUCGAACGGCAGCACGAGAGCUUGCUCUUGGUGGCGAGUGGCGAACGGGUGAGUAAUAUAUCGGAACGUACCCUAGAGUGGGGGAUAACGUAGCGAAAGUUACGCUAAUACCGCAUACGAUCUACGGAUGAAAGUGGGGGAUCGCAAGACCUCAUGCUCAUGGAGCGGCCGAUAUCUGAUUAGCUAGUUGGUGGGGUAAAAGCUCACCAAGGCGACGAUCAGUAGCUGGUCUGAGAGGACGACCAGCCACACUGGAGCUGAGACACGGUCCAGACUCCUACGGGAGGCAGCAGUGGGGAAUUUUGGACAAUGGGCGCAAGCCUGAUCCAGCAAUGCCGCGUGAGUGAAGAAGGCCUUCGGGUUGUAAAGCUCUUUUGUCAGGGAAGAAACGGUGGACUCUAAUACAGAUCACUAAUGACGGUACCUGAAGAAUAAGCACCGGCUAACUACGUGCCAGCAGCCGCGGUAAUACGUAGGGUGCAAGCGUUAAUCGGAAUUACUGGGCGUAAAGCGUGCGCAGGCGGUUGUGCAAGACAGAUGUGAAAUCCCCGGGCUCAACCUGGGAAUUGCAUUUGUGACUGCACGGCUAGAGUGUGUCAGAGGGGGGUAGAAUUCCACGUGUAGCUGUGAAAUGCGUAGAGAUGUGGAGGAAUACCGAUGGCGAAGGCAGCCCCCUGGGAUAACACUGACGCUCAUGCACGAAAGCGUGGGGAGCAAACAGGAUUAGAUACCCUGGUAGUCCACGCCCUAAACGAUGUCUACUAGUUGUCGGGUCUUAAUUGACUUGGUAACGCAGCUAACGCGUGAAGUAGACCGCCUGGGGAGUACGGUCGCAAGAUUAAAACUCAAAGGAAUUGACGGGGACCCGCACAAGCGGUGGAUGAUGUGGAUUAAUUCGAUGCAACGCGAAGAACCUUACCUACCCUUGACAUGUCUGGAAUCCUUGAGAGAUCAGGGAGUGCUCGAAAGAGAAUCAGAACACAGGUGCUGCAUGGCUGUCGUCAGCUCGUGUCGUGAGAUGUUGGGUUAAGUCCCGCAACGAGCGCAACCCUUGUCAUUAGUUGCUACGAAAGGGCACUCUAAUGAGACUGCCGGUGACAAACCGGAGGAAGGUGGGGAUGACGUCAAGUCCUCAUGGCCCUUAUGGGUAGGGCUUCACACGUCAUACAAUGGUACAUACAGAGGGCCGCCAACCCGCGAGGGGGAGCUAAUCCCAGAAAGUGUAUCGUAGUCCGGAUUGUAGUCUGCAACUCGACUACAUGAAGUUGGAAUCGCUAGUAAUCGCGGAUCAGCAUGUCGCGGUGAAUACGUUCCCGGGUCUUGUACACACCGCCCGUCACACCAUGGGAGCGGGUUUCACCAGAAGUGGGUAGCCUAACCGCAAGGAGGGCGCUCACCACGGUGGGAUUCGUGACUGGGGUGAAGUCGUAACAAGGUA
rnacentral:rRNA from 1 species